UGUAGCCUGUUGGAAAGAGAUUAUUUUAUUUUAUUUUAUCAUAUUUUAUUUUUGUGCAGUGAACUUCCCAAAACUAUUUUUCUAGUUAUUUUAAGUCAAUUAAUUUCACUGAGUGUUGGAUUCCUGCACAGGUCAUGUUAUGUUGUGUGUGGGAACCAUUGAUUGUAGCGUUUGUUCGAAUGGGAUGCUUGUCUGUGUUGCGCACUAUUCUUUUUGGGAGUGCGUGAGUUGCGUCAGCCUCAGACCGCGAGUGGACGCUGAUGAGGCAGGACGCACAUUUUCUCUCUCUUCUUCCAGCCAUAGUUGUGUUUAACGGAAGAAGUUAGCGCAACGGAUGUUUCUCUUAUCAAGUGUCCCAUGUGUUUCAGGUAUGUUCAGUUCUUUAACUCAUUGUAUAAAAUUAUAGAAUUUGGUUUAUAAUGUUAUGGACUAAAUUUGAAUAUAUUAUCAAUACUAUUUUUCUAUCCCCCUUUUCUAUAAUGCAUUUAAUUGCUUUACAUUUGUAUAAUGCACUGAUUUCACUUUUCUAUAGUGUCAUUGUGAAUGUGUAUGAUGCUUUUGGGAGAAUGUUUACAUUAAUUUUAUGCAUCAUUCAUUGUUAAUAAUACAAAUGAGACAACAAUUGACACAGUGAUGUGUAAUCAGUCACUUUAUUUUAAUUUCCUUAUUUUAUGGGUUUAAAUGUAUUACACAAUGUUAAACAUAAAUUGUUGUAACAUUAGCCUCAGACCGCGAGUGGACGCUGAUGAGGCAGGACGCACAUUUUCUCUCUCUUCUUCCAGCCAUAGUUGUGUUUAACGGAAGAAGUUAGCGCAACGGAUGUUUCUCUUAUCAAGUGUCCCAUGUGUUUCAGGUAAAUAAAUGCUGUUUUUUUGGAGCUGGCCUGUUGUCUCCAGAGUGGAUUUUCUUAUGUGCAGAAUCGGAUCUGCUACACUAGUGUUGUACAAAUCAGGGUUUUCUUCGACUACCUUGUGAAUCGACGACCCCAGGGCAUGGCUGCCAUCUUGUGGAUAAACUAAUUACUGCAAACAAAAAACAUUUUUAAAUGCACAUGUGUGACCUGCCUGUACAAAUUACACACAGUUACAAAAAUCCGGCGGCGUGUGCAGUACACACUCUUCUGAUGACAAAAGCGCACUUGACCCUCGCGUACGCGUAAAAAGUCAAGUAUACUUUAGGCUUUAGCUGACAGGAGUGGCACCUGGUGUGUCUUCUGCUGCUGUAGCCCAUCUUCUUCAAGGUUCGAUGUUGUGUGUUCAGAGAUGCUCUUCUGCAGACCUCGGUUGUAACGAGUGAUUAUUUGAGUUGCCUUUCUAUCAGCUUGAACUAUCAGUCUCGCCAUUCUCCUCCAGCAUUAAAAAGGCAUUUUCACCCACAGAACUGCUGCUCACUGGACUCUUUUUUCGGACCAUUCUCUAAGCCCUAGAGAUGGUUGAGCAUGAAAAUUCUAGUAAAUCGUCAGUUUCUGAAAUACUCGGAUCAGCCAGUCUGGCCCCAAAAACCAUGCCACGUUCAAAGUCACUUAAAUCACUUUUCUUCCCUAUUCUGAUGCUCAGUUUGAACUUCAGCAGAUCGUCUUGACCAUGUCUACAUGGCAAAAAGUUGCUGCCAUGUGAUUGGCUGUUUAGAUAUUUGUGUUUAAAGAGCAAUUGAACAAGUGUACCUAAUAAAGUACGACACACACAGUCAUGCUGGUUGAUAUGUAAAAGUUCAAUAAACAAGAAAUCAAUACUGAGAAAUUAAUAUUUAGACACUUGCUAGUUACUUUAUCAGUUUUUGUUACUUCACUGAAAAUAGAUCAAAUUGAAGUCAAAGCAUAAUGCGCAUAUCCAGAAUCUAAACAACAGGUGUUUGGUUUUUGUCUGAAUCUGUGUUUCUGAACAAAUCAGUUGAGUGAACUAUUCAAUAACUCUAUCAUAAAGACAGUCACUUGUUAAUUGUGUAACGAUGUAACUUACAGAAAGGCUCACUGAAAAAUUCUCAAAACUAAUGCACAGACAGCCUGUAACACUUAAACAGACAAUCGGAGUGAUAUAAACAGUGAAACAUUCCUGUGUGAGUAGACUGUAUCGCCGUAUUUGAAAUAUCAUGUACUAUACUCUGGUUGUAAAUAUAUGGCAGUUUAUAAAUAUUGUAAAUAUUAUGGUAGUUUGCUAUGCAAAUUCAACUUAUAAGAGCAAUCUUGGAACGUUGCCUGGCCAGUCAAAUUGGAGGAUUGGAAGUAACUGUUGCUACUCCAUUACAAUCGUUGACAGUUUGACAAGCUGCUUCUGGUGAGCAAUUUCUAUUCAAAGUUUCCUUAGUGUGGUCUCUAGUGGUUCGUAAUGACCUUUACUGCAUCAGUUGGUUCGUAAUAUUUCUCAUAUCAGCUCAGUCAGACAGAUUUCCUGUUUCAGGUAAUGGUCUCAGAACAAGCACUGGCAUGUUUUCUCAAACAUCUCUGACAUCUAUAAACCACACUUUAGUAAAAUGAUGUGGUUGAUGCUGAACUUUGCUUACAGCUGAAGGAGCACUAGAACCUUGCUUUAUUUCUGUGUGAAUUAUUGUUUAAAUUAUCAAGCAUUAAUAAUGAUUUUCAAAUGGUUUCAAGGUCUCCAUGCAUUUGUGUAAAUGACUGUUAUCUGUGUAUAUAUAGUCUCUUUAAGUCUGUUUCAUCUCAUCGCCUCUUUUUUUUUUUUAACACCUUUUUUCAUGCAUCUCACCCAUCGGCUUGUUUUUUUUUUUCUUCGUUUGUGGCUAACUUGCUAAAACGCAUUCGAUUUACUCUGCAUGCAUGCUUUGCAGUUUCAUUUUUUGAGAUAAAAAUCAUACUUCCACUGUUUUCCACAUCAUGCAACGAUUGCAGCGCCCCCAAAGUGACAAGACAACUUUUUUAUCAGGGGUCCGA